UGCGUAGGUGGCAAGCGUUGUCCGGAUUUAUUGGGUUUAAAGGGUGCGUAGGCGGCCCUGUAAGUCAGUGCUGAAAUAUCCCGGCUUAACCGGGAGGGUGGCAUUGAUACUGCAGGGCUUGAGUACAGAUGAAGUAGGCGGAAUUGACGGUGUAGCGGUGAAAUGCAUAGAUAUCGUCAAGAACACCGAUAGCGAAGGCAGCUUACUAAGCUGUAACUGACGCUGAGGCACGAAAGCGUGGGGAGCAAACAGG
rnacentral:rRNA from 1 species